rnacentral:rRNA from 1 species
UACGAAGGGGGCUAGCGUUGUUCGGAAUUACUGGGCGUAAAGCGCACGUAGGCGGAUUGUUAAGUGAGGGGUGAAAUCCCAGGGCUCAACCCUGGAACUGCCUUUCAUACUGGCAAUCUCGAGUCCGAGAGAGGUGAGUGGAAUUCCGGAGUGUAGAGGUGAAAUUCGUAGAUAUUCGGAGGAACACCAGUGGCGAAGGCGCUCACUGGCUCGGGUACUGACGCUGGAGGC